UCUCCCUGGUCAAACCGAUUCAAGGAAGGACAGAAUAGAAGAGUUAGAGCCGCCAAGUCCUCGUUGAGAAAAUUCAAAAAAGUCCAUAAAAGACGCCUGUCCCGUCCUCUCAUCACUAGCAGGUUGUGGCUGUUGAACCUCAGGAGUCACACCUGAUUAAUCCCACAAAUGGACAGGAGAUGAGUGAGAUCGUUUUCACCCCAGCGUACCCAUCAUUGUGACAUUGAUGAAAUCUCCGGCCAUCUCCAUGGCAACUGUAGACUGUCUGUGGCAACCUGGUUGCAGAUGAUCAUUGUGAGGUAUGAAUGAAUAUCAAUAACUGAACCGAUAGAUAUUACCCAACUAUGAGAUAGGAUUUGAAUUCAUUACACACUGAUAAGUCACUCUCAUAAUCAAACUGUAGCCAAUCAAAGAGCAGAGUAUUAAACACCGAGUCAAAGCUUGAACCGUCACUCAUCUGCCCUCACAUCAUUAUGGUGAGAAAAUAAACUAACUCACUUCCAG